AUUGAACGCUGGCGGAAUGCUUCACACAUGCAAGUCGAGCGGCAGCACGGGGGCAACCCUGGUGGCGAGCGGCGAACGGGUGAGUAAUACAUCGGAACAUGCCCAGUCGUGGGGGAUAACACUUCGAAAGAAGUGCUAAUACCGCAUACGUCCUGAGGGAGAAAGCGGGGGAUCUUCGGACCUCGCGCGAUUGGAGUGGCCGAUGUCAGAUUAGCUAGUUGGUGGGGUAAAGGCCUACCAAGGCAACGAUCUGUAGCUGGUCUGAGAGGAUGAUAAGCCACACUGGGACUGAGACACGGCCCAGACUCCUACGGGAGGCAGCAGUGGGGAAUUUUGGACAAUGGGGGCAACCCUGUUCCAGCCAUUCCGCGUGAGUGAAGAAGGCCUUCGGGUUGUAAAGCUCUUUCGGCAGGAACGAAACGGUGAGCUCUAACAUAGCUUGCUAAUGACGGUACCUGAAGAAGAAGCACCGGCUAACUACGUGCCAGCAGCCGCCGUAAAAC
rnacentral:rRNA from 1 species